rnacentral:rRNA from 1 species
AGGGGAGUAGACAACAGGGAUUGCCCCAGUAACGGCGAGUGAAGCGGCAACAGCUCAAAUUUGAAAUCUGGCCUCCGGGUCCGAAUUGUAAUUUGUAGAGGAUGCUUUUGGCGAGGUGCCUUCCGAGUUCCCUGGAACGGGACGCCAUAGAGGGUGAGAGCCCCGUCUGGUCGGACACCGAGCCUCUGUAAAGCUCCUUCGACGAGUCGAGUAGUUUGGGAAUGCUGCUCAAAAUGGGAGGUAUAUGUCUUCUAAAGCUAAAUAUUGGCCAGAGACCGAUAGCGCACAAGUAGAGUGAUCGAAAGAUGAAAAGCACUUUGAAAAGAGGGUUAAAAAGUACGUGAAAUUGUUGAAAGGGAAGCGCCUAUGACCAGACUUGGGCCCGGUGAAUCAUCCAGCGUUCUCGCUGGUGCACUUUGCCGGGCACAGGCCAGCAUCAGUUUGGCGCGGGGGAAAAAGGUUUUGGGAAUGUGGCUCCCUCGGGAGUGUUAUAGCCCAUUGCGUAAUACCCUGCGCCGGACUGAGGUACGCGCAUCGCAAGGAUGCUGGCGUAAUGGUCAUCAGCGACCCGUCUUGAAACACGGACCAAGGAGUCGUCUUCGUAUGCGAGUGUUCGGGUGUCAAACCCCUACGCGUAAUGAAAGUGAACGCAGGUGAGAGCUUCGGCGCAUCAUCGACCGAUCCUGAUGUUCUCGGAUGGAUUUGAGUAAGAGCAUACGGGGCCGGACCCGAAAGAAGGUGAACUAUGCCUGUAUAGGGUGAAGCCAGAGGAAACUCUGGUGGAGGCUCGCAGCGGUUCUGACGUGCGAAUCGAUCGUCAAAUAUGGGCAUGGGGGCGAAAGACUAAUCGAACCUUCUAGUAGCUGGUUUCCGCCGAAGUUCUCCCCUCAGGAA